rnacentral:rRNA from 1 species
AUACGGAGGGCGCGAACGUUGCUCGGAAUCAUUGGGCGUAAAGCGCACGUAGGCGGCCUGAUAAGUCGGAUGUGAAAGCCCACGGCUCAACCGUGGAAGUGCAUUCGAAACUGUCAGGCUUGAGUAUGGGAGAGGGUUGCGGAAUUCCCGGUGUAGAGGUGAAAUUCGUAGAUAUCGGGAGGAACACCAGCGGCGAAGGCGGCAGCCUGGACCAAUACUGACGCUGAGGUGCGAAAGCGUGGGGAGCAAACAGGAUUAGAAACCCCGGUAGUCC